GUUUGCUAACAUUUUUUCCCCCCUCCAAGUGAUUUUAUUUCAAAAUGCAGGCAAGAUAAUGUUGCUGUUUCUUGCUGCCCCACACAGGUGAGAUGGGACUGCCAAGAGUUUGGGAUCAGCAGCGUCAGCACUGGAAUAAGAAAGCAGCAUUCUGGAUGUAUUUUGGGAACCUUGCCACUCCUUGUCUCCCGCAUCAACUUGAAGAUCCCCUCUUGGAAAGGAGCCAUCUCUGCCUACUUUCCACCAACUUGGUGAGAGGGGACACAGGCCAGCAUGGGGUUCCUGCUGCCAGAAUGCCUCGUGCUUUCACCUUCUCCCUGGCUUAUGUCAGGCAAAGGACCACCCUCCCGAUGAACUGUUAUUCCUAUACCCCUCUCUUCCCCCUGGCUGCCCCAACAGCAGUCACCUCCUGCAUUUCAUUUUACCUGCUGAACAUACAGAAUGGGGA
rnacentral:lncRNA from 1 species